rnacentral:rRNA from 1 species
CCUACGGGGGGCUGCAGUGGGGAAUAUUGGACAAUGGGCGAAAGCCUGAUCCAGCCAUGCCGCGUGUGUGAAGAAGGCCUUCGGGUUGUAAAGCACUUUCAGUGGGGAAGAAAGCCUUGGGGCUAAUACCCUCGAGGAAGGACAUCACCCACAGAAGAAGCACCGGCUAACUCCGUGCCAGCAGCCGCGGUAAUACGGAGGGUGCGAGCGUUAAUCGGAAUUACUGGGCGUAAAGCGCGCGUAGGCGGUCUGAUAAGCCGGUUGUGAAAGCCCCGGGCUCAGCCUGGGAACGGCAUCCGGAACUGUCAGGCUAGAGUGCAGGAGAGGAAGGUAGAAUUCCCGGUGUAGCGGUGAAAUGCGUAGAGAUCGGGAGGAAUACCAGUGGCGAAGGCGGCCUUCUGGACUGACACUGACGCUGAGGUGCGAAAGCGUGGGUAGCAAACAGGAUUAGAUACCCUGGUAGUC